AGCUAGUCUGAUGGUUAGCAGAACUUAUUAACAUUAAGCAGAACUUAUUAACAUUAGUGUCACUAAAGUUGAUAUACAACCUCCCACUGCUAAAUUUGACUGGCUAAAA
rnacentral:Y_RNA from 1 species